rnacentral:ncRNA from 1 species
UAGAAACCUAUGAAGAGAAUAGUAACAUGAUAAAGCUUUUAGAGAGUCGAUGUUUGGUGAAAAUCGAUAAGGUUUAUUGUGUGAAUCCGCCUCUGAGGGAUUGCGAUGAGCAAUACGGUUUGCAAUAGCCGUUAUUUUAAUUAAGAGGAUCAUUUUAUGAUCAAUUAGGGUGGCAACGCGGAGCCUUUCGUCCCUUUU